GAUGAACGCUGGCGGCGUGCCUAAUACAUGCAAGUCGAGCGAAUGGAUUAAGAGCUUGCUCUUAUGAAGUUAGCGGCGGACGGGUGAGUAACACGUGAGUAACCUGCCCAUAAGACUGGGAUAACUCCGGGAAACCGGGGCUAAUACCGGAUAACAUUUUGAACCGCAUGGUUCGAAAUUGAAAGGCGGCUUCGGCUGUCACUUAUGGAUGGGCCCGCGUCGCAUUAGCUAGUUGGUGAGGUAACGGCUCACCAAGGCAACGAUGCGUAGCCGACCUGAGAGGGUGAUCGGCCACAAUGGGACUGAGACACGGCCCAGACUCCUACGGGAGGCAGCAGGAGGGAAUCUUCCGCAAUGGACGAAAGUCUGACGGAGCAACGCCGCGUGAGUGAUGAAGGCUUUCGGGUCGUAAAACUCUGUUGUUAGGGAAGAACAAGUGCUAGUUGAAUAAGCUGGCACCUUGACGGUACCUAACCAGAAAGCCACGGCUAACUACGUGCCAGCAGCCGCCGUAA
rnacentral:rRNA from 1 species